UGCAGUCGACGAUGAAGCCGCUUCGGUGGUGGAUUAGUGGCGAACGGGUGAGUAACACGUGGGCAAUCUGCCCUGCACUCUGGGACAAGCCCUGGAAACGGGGUCUAAUACCGGAUACGACACAGGAAGGCAUCUUCUCUGUGUGGAAAGCUCCGGCGGUGCAGGAUGAGCCCGCGGCCUAUCAGCUUGUUGGUGGGGUGAUGGCCUACCAAGGCGACGACGGGUAGCCGGCCUGAGAGGGCGACCGGCCACACUGGGACUGAGACACGGCCCAGACUCCUACGGGAGGCAGCAGUGGGGAAUAUUGCACAAUGGGCGAAAGCCUGAUGCAGCGACGCCGCGUGAGGGAUGACGGCCUUCGGGUUGUAAACCUCUUUCAGCAGGGAAGAAGCGCAAGUGACGGUACCUGCAGAAGAAGCACCGGCUAACUACGUGCCAGCAGCCGCGGUAAUACGUAGGGUGCGAGCGUUGUCCGGAAUUAUUGGGCGUAAAGAGCUCGUAGGCGGCUUGUCACGUCGGAUGUGAAAGCCCGGGGCUUAACCCCGGGUCUGCAUUCGAUACGGGCAGGCUAGAGUUCGGUAGGGGAGAUCGGAAUUCCUGGUGUAGCGGUGAAAUGCGCAGAUAUCAGGAGGAACACCGGUGGCGAAGGCGGAUCUCUGGGCCGAUACUGACGCUGAGGAGCGAAAGCGUGGGGAGCGAACAGGAUUAGAUACCCUGGUAGUCCACGCCGUAAACGUUGGGAACUAGGUGUGGGCGACAUUCCACGUCGUCCGUGCCGCA
rnacentral:rRNA from 1 species